CCCAUGAAUAGAUGUUUAUGAAGACUAAUGUUAUAGCCCAUUAUGCACGCUAUAAGAAAUUACAGUGGAAUCUACUUCAUUCUGGGACAUACGUCCUCUACUUGUGCUUCAUAUAUAAUAUGAUUGCAUGAGCUUGAAAAACUUCAAUCUUUUUCAAUUACUAUAAACAUGAUAUCAGAAAAAAUUAUGGGGGUUAACAGAUUCAUCAAAAUACUGAGUGUACUGAUGUUUGUACUUUCACUAUGCAUGAAACUUACUUCAGUAUCUGCGGCUGAAGUUAGGUGCAUAGACAGGGAAAGACAAGCUCUUCUCAAGUUUAAGCAUGACCUUGUUGAUGGCUAUGGCAUCCUCUCAUCCUGGGGAAGUGAAGAAGUUAAAAAGGAAUGUUGCAAAUGGAAGGGUAUCUCGUGUAGCAAGGGAACUGGUCACGUAGUUUUACUUGAUCUAAAUGACUCUCAGUCGGUUGAUUAUUUUUAUCUGAAGGCUGCUAAGCUUAGCCCCGUACUGCUUGAGUUGCAGCAUUUGAAUUAUUUGGACCUGAGUCAUAAUGAUUUUGGAGGAAGUAAAGUACCAAGAUUCUUGGGUUCCUUCAAGAAAUUAAGGUACUUGAAACUUUUACACUCAAACUUCUCUGGUGAAGUUCCUUGUGAACUUGGGAACCUUACAAACCUGCAUACUCUUGACCUUGGUUUUAACAAUUUGAGAAUCAAGAACCUUGAGUGGCUUUCUCAUCUUUCUUUGUUGUCAUUUAUUGACUUGAGUUUUGUGAACCUUAUGAAUCAAACCAGCUGGUUGCAACACAUAACAAGGUUACCUUUCCUUGAGGAACUAUAUUUGUCAUCCUGUCAACUUCCCAGCACAGUACCUUCCUUCGAUAUCUUUACUAAUUCUUCUUUACCCUAUCUGUCUAUCCUUGAUUUAUCCUUCAAUGAUCUCACUUCCUCUUUUGCAUUCCACUGGUUGUUUAACUCUAGUGCAAGUCUUACUAGCAUAGACCUCUCCUAUAAUCGAAUAGAGGGUCCUAUUCCUGAUGCCGUUGGGGAAUUGAUCUUUCUUCAGGAACUUGUUUUGAGUUACAAUGUGUUCCGAGGGAUGAUUCCAAAAUCUUUGGGGAAUUUAAGUCAUUUAUAUUCACUAGACAUGUCAUACAAUGAAUUAAACGGUCCCUUGCCAGAUUUUACCAAAAUUUCAUCCUUAAGAAAUUUGAUCCUUAACAACAAUAAGCUGAAUGGGUUUCACCCACAAAGCCUUGGGCUACCUUCAAGUCUUGAAAUGUUAGAGUUAUCUUGCAACCAAUUUAGAAGGCUACCCGAAGGUAUUGAGAAACUUUCCAAGCUCAGAUCUUUUGGAAUGUCUUCAAAUUUGUUAAAUGGGUUUCACCCACAGAGCCUUGGGCUACCUUCAAGUCUUCAAAGUUUAGAGUUAUCUUACAACCAAUUUAGAAGGCUACCCGAUGGUAUUGAGAAACUUUCCAAGCUUGAAUAUUUAGGAAUGUCUUCAAAUUUGUUGGAAGGUACAAUCGCUGAAUGGUACCUCUCAAACUUAGCCAACUUACAAUUCCUGGAUUUAUCCUUCAACUCCUUGGCUUUCAACUUGAGCUCAAAUUGGAUUCCUCAUUUUCAAUUGCACACAAUACUGCUCAGCCAUUGCUAUUUGGGGCCUCAUUUUCCAAAUUGGAUUCAAACUCAGAGUACUCUUAUAGAGCUUGAUCUCUCUUUUGCUGGUAUAUCAGAUGUAUUACCUAAUUGGUUGUGGAAUAUGUCUUCUUUAAUAUACUUAGAUCUUUCUCAUAACAAUAUUAGUGGUAAAAUUUCUAAUUUGUCCUCAAACUCAAUUGUUCGUGAAAUUGUAGAUUUAAGUUAUAACAAAUUUUCAGGUCCAAUUCCAUUAUUUCUUUUUCAUUCUGGAGAAUUAAAAUUUUCCAAUAAUAUGUUUUCGGGAUCCAUUUUUCACUUAUGCACAAUUCCUGAGGCCUUCAUCAUCCUCAUGCUUGACCUCUCUGAUAACCAAUUGGAAGGAGAGCUUCCUAAUUGCUGGGUCAACAUGAGUGAAUUAGCUGUUCUAGAUUUGGCAAAUAAUAAGUUCUUAGGUAAAAUUCCCCUCACUUUGGGCAGUUUGGAUCAGCUUGAAAUAUUACACUUGCGCAACAAUAAUUUCAUUGGUGAAUUGCCUUCAACUUUGAAGAAUUGCACGAGACUAAGAACGCUUGAUGUGGGAGAAAACAAGUUAACAGGUAAUAUUCCAGCAUGGAUAGGAACACAUUUAACAAGUUUGACAGUUCUUAGCCUUCGACUUAAUGAAUUUGAUGGAAUCAUGCCUUCAACAAUUUGCCGCCUUACCAGUAUCCAUGUCUUGGACCUCUCUAGAAACAAUAAUUUAGGAAGAAUAUCAGAGUGUUUAAACAAUAUUACUGCUUUGGUUGAGAAGAACAGUUCAAUUGAAAACACAGAUUCUUUGGGACAUCAGUUAUUUCACAAUCUUGGAUUGUAUGUUAACAAUGCUUUUGUUCAAUGGAAAGGACAAGAUUCAGAAUAUAAAACACUAGGACUUCUGAAAGGCAUUGAUCUUUCUGGAAAUAAGCUUUUUGGACCUAUUCCUCAAGAGUUUUCUGCUUUAAGGGGUUUAGUUUUCUUGAACUUAUCUAGAAAUCAUUUGACUGGAAAUAUCAUUUCAAACAUUGGUCAAAUGGAGACGUUAGAAUGUCUUGACUUGUCUCGAAACCAGCUUUCAGGGAAGAUACCGAACAGCCUUGCACAUGUAAAUUUUCUCAGUGUUUUGGAUUUAUCAUACAAUUUUUGACAGGAAAGAUUCCUUUGGGCACUCAACUACAAAGCUUCAACUCUUCUGUAUAUGCUGGUAAUAGCCAACUCUGUGGAAAGCCUCUGACGGAGUGUCCUGAAGAUAUUUUUAAUAGUUCCGUGACUGAUCACGGAAAGGGAAAUAUUUUCGAAGAAGAUGAUGUGUUUUUAACUUAUGAUAUUUACAUUUGCAUGGCAUUUGGUUUCAUUACUGGAUUCUGGGUAGUUGUUAUAACUCUAUACCUCAAGCAUUCUUGGAGAUAUUCCUACUUCAACUUUUGGGAUAAUGUUGGAAACUGGAUGUACGUGACAACAACAAUCUAUGUGACAAGAUUCAAGAGAAAAUUUCAGACGUAAAGGUAAACAUUUAAUUUACUUGAUCAAUCUGGUUGUUAUAUAUCCAAAUCUUGACUUGGUUUGAUAUUGAAAUCAGGAGCCCCUUUUGGGAAACAAGAAAGUGUUGACUAUCGUUCAAACAAUAUGUUGGCUAGAGAGGUGCAGGGACUAUGCAUGGCAGUGUUACUAUUUCUAUUCUAGUUAUCACCAUUGUCUUAUUUUCUAAGCAUUUUUAAAAAUAAUAUCAAUUCAUAAGAUCUCAAUCCAUACAAAUAACUAGCUUUGUUGUGCUUAAUCAUUGAUGUAAAAAUAAAUUUUAAUGGAGAUAGAGUAUAUCGCUUGAUUAAUUAGUUAGUUUAGCUUUUUUUAGUCAAGUAUAUGACUUAUUUAAUUUGUAUGUACUAAAAAAC
rnacentral:lncRNA from 1 species